AGAGUUUGAUUCUGGCUCAGAACGAACGCUGGCGGCGUGGAUAAGACAUGCAAGUCGAACGGAGACUGAACGAUAGCAAUAUUGUUUAGUUUUAGUGGCGAAAGGGUGCGUAACACGUGGGUAAUCUGCCGUAAUGUUUGGAAUAACUUGCCGAAAGGUAAGCUAAUACCGGAUGUGGACCUUUUAAGGCAUCUUGAAAGAUCUAAAGCUGGGGACCGUAAGGCCUGGCGCAUUAUGAUGAGCCCGCGGCCUAUCAGCUUGUUGGUGAGGUAACGGCUCACCAAGGCAAAGACGGGUAGCCGGUCUGAGAGGACGGUCGGCCACACUGGAACUGAGACACGGUCCAGACACCUACGGGUGGCAGCAGUCGAGAAUCAUUCACAAUGGGCGAAAGCCUGAUGGUGCGACGCCGCGUGGGGGAUGAAUGGCUUCGGUCAGUAAACCCCUGUCAUUAGUGAACAAACCUUUUAGAGUAAUAUUUUAAAAGCUGAUAGUAGCUAAAGAGGAAGGGACGGCUAACUCUGUGCCAGCAGCCGCGGUAAUACAGAGGUCCCAAGCGUUGUUCGGAUUCACUGGGCGUAAAGAGUGCGUAGGUGGCUAGGUAAGUUUGAUGUGAAAGCUCCGAGCUCAACUCGGAAAUUGCAUUGAAAACUGCUUGGCUAGAGGGUCGGAAGGGAGACUGGAAUUUUCGGUGUAGCAGUGAAAUGCGUAGAUAUCGAGAGGAACACCAGUGGCGAAGGCGAGUCUCUGGACGAAUCCUGACACUGAGGCACGAAAGCUAGGGUAGCAAACAGGAUUAGAUACCCUGGUAGUCCUAGCCGUAAACGGUGCACACUUGCUAUGAGCGGAUUCGACCCCGUUCGUGGCGUAGCUAACGCGUUAAGUGUGCCGCCUGGGGAGUACGGUCGCAAGAUUAAAACUCAAAGAAAUUGACGGGGGCCUGCACAAGCGGUGGAGUAUGUGGCUUAAUUCGAUGCAACGCGAAGAACCUUACCUGGCCUUGACAUGUUUGUGGUAAAACCCUGAAAGGGGAAUGACCUCGCAAGAGGAGCUUACACAGGUGCUGCAUGGCUGUCGUCAGCUCGUGUCGUGAGAUGUUGGGUUAAGUCCC
rnacentral:rRNA from 1 species